GCACCGGCUACUGCCGGUCACCGGCUCAGCGGCGCUGCGCCGCCGGGCGGAGUCAUUCUUCCUCAGCAGGCGGUCCGACCGGUGUGUGGAGAGCGUGGAACGAGAUAGCCGGUCAUCUAAGAAAAGAAACACUACAAGUCACAACAAACCAGUAGGUGCUUGCCUGAUAUCAGAGCAGCUCAUCAGAACACAGAGAAGUGAAGACUGGUGUCGGUGAGCUGGGAUGUGAGAAGGACAUACAGGACAGAAACUUAAGCACCUGGAACAGGCUGAGGUGGCCCAGAACAGGAAGUCAGACACAGUAGAGAACAAAGAAGAAAGAGACUCCAGGAGUACCCCUGCUUCUGGAAUCGAAAUGAGUUGAAGCUAAGCUCAAAUCUUCUGGGAAGAGGAAACCCCAAUUGGAAAGUAUCUCCAUCAGACUGAUCUCUGGGCAAGCCUGCGGGGCAUUUUCUGGGUUUAUGAUUGCUGUGCGUGUGUGGGCCCUACCUGCUGGAGACAGUGCCACCCCUGGAUAGGAGGUCCUGAGCUGUAUGAGAAAGCAGACUGAGCAAGUCACGGAGAGCAAGCCAGUAAGCAGCAUUCUCCACAGGCCUCUACUUCAGUUCCUGCCUCCAGGUUCCUCCCUGCUUGAGUUCCUGUCCUGACUUCCCCCAGUGAUUGACUGUAACCUGGUGGGGUUGUAAGACGAAGUAAUCACUUUCUUCCACAGAUUGGUUUGUUCAUAGUGUCUCAUCACACAAUAAGAAGCAAACUAAGAAAAAUAAAAGUGGAAAGUAAGACAGAUGAAGAUACCCCAGAACAACCUCUGGACUCAUUCCACAUACACAGUCACACACACAUAUGCACAUGGAUAAACCCCACACAAAAACAUAAACUGUAAGGCUUCUCCAAGUGCCGCAUGUACCUAGCAACCCAGCUUUGGCCAAUAGUUUGCAGAGGGAAGCAGAUGCUGAAAGCCCACAACCUCUCUGGCCCCCACAGCUUUUAUCCAUUUUGUUUGUCUUGUCCCCUUCAGAUGGCUUCUUGUCACAGUUUCCCCCAUUUGAACAUAAGAAUUACAGCUCAGAAACAGAGUUCUCAAACUUAGCCUACCUUUCUUUUUUCAGUUGAUUUCAUUAUUUGUUCUUUUGGGGAUCUUUGAGGGGCAGAGUCUCGCCCCUCCAGGCUGGUCUGAAAUUCACUGAGUUUGAGGAAUGUGGGUCGACCCU